rnacentral:rRNA from 1 species
CCUACGGGUGGCAGCAGUGAGGAAUAUUGGUCAAUGGACGAGAGUCUGAACCAGCCAAGUAGCGUGAAGGAUGACUGCCCUAUGGGUUGUAAACUUCUUUUAUAUGGGAAUAAAAUGUUCCACGUGUGGGAUUUUGUAUGUACCAUAUGAAUAAGGAUCGGCUAACUCCGUGCCAGCAGCCGCGGUAAUACGGAGGAUCCGAGCGUUAUCCGGAUUUAUUGGGUUUAAGGGGAGCGUAGGUAGAUUGUUAAGUCAGUUGUGAAAGUUUGCGGCGCAACCGUAAAAUUGCAGUUGAAACUGGCAGUCUUGAGUACAGUAGAGGUGGGCGGAAUUCGUGGUGUAGCGGUGAAAUGCUUAGAUAUCACGAAGAACUCCGAUUGCGAAGGCAGUUCACUGGACUGCAACUGACACUGAGGCUCGAAAGUGUGGGUAUCAAACAGGAUUAGAUACCCUUGUAGUC